rnacentral:tRNA from 1 species
GGGUCCGUAGCUUAGCCCGGUAGAGCGCUGCUCUGAUAAGGCAGAGGUCGGAAGUUCAAAUCUCCCCGGGCCCA